rnacentral:tRNA from 1 species
CCCUGGUGAUUUAGACAGGAAAGAAUCUGCCUGCAAUACAGGAGACCCGGGUUCAAUCCCUGGAUCAGGAA